GUUUCGUCGUCUAUAUCUUUUUCUCCGAUGAUAUAGUCGAAAAUCGCGUCGAACCUUCCGGGAACAGUAAAUGCUUGGGCUAAUGGGGUAUGCAGCCAGACAUUUUAGUUUGCCUUUCUGACGUGGUAGGUGAUUCCCUGUUUUUUUAUAGACGGAAGUAAGUGAUUUUCUUGCUUUGGCGUGACUAUAAAUCCUACAUGAAACAAGCGAAAUCACAAAGCACGCAUCUUCAAAUCUACGUCGACGAUAAGGAUAUUGGAUUGCGAGAAUUAU
rnacentral:misc_RNA from 1 species